UACAGAGGUCCCGAGCGUUUGUUCGGAUUCACUGGGCGUAAAGGGUGCGCAGGUGGGUUGGCAAGUUUGAUGUGAAAGCCCCGGGCUUAACCCGGGAAUGGCAUUGAAUACUGCUGAUCUGGAGGAUCGGAGGGGGGGACUGGAAUUCUUGGUGUAGCAGUGAAAUGCGUAGAUAUCAAGAGGAACACCAGUGGCGAAGGCGAGUCCCUGGACGAUACCUGACACUGAGGCACGAAAGCCAAGGGAGCAAACAGG
rnacentral:rRNA from 1 species